rnacentral:rRNA from 1 species
AAUAGAUACCCAGGUAGUCCACGCCGUAAACGGUGGGCACUAGGUGUGGGCAACAUUCCACGUUGUCCGUGCCGCAGCUAACGCAUUAAGUGCCCCGCCUGGGGAGUACGGCCGCAAGGCUAAAACUCAAAGGAAUUGACAGGGGCCCGCACAAGCGGCGGAGCAUGUGGCUUAAUUCGACGCAACGCGAAGAACCUUACCAAGGCUUGACAUACACCGGAAAGCAUCAGAGAUGGUGCCCCCCUUGUGGUCGGUGUACAGGUGGUGCAUGGCUGUCGUCAGCUCGUGUCGUGAGAUGUUGGGUUAAGUCCCGCAACGAGCGCAACCCUUGUCCCGUGUUGCCAGCAACUCUUCGGAGGUUGGGGACUCACGGGAGACCGCCGGGGUCAACUCGGAGGAAGGUGGGGACGACGUCAAGUCAUCAUGCCCCUUAUGUCUUGGGCUGCACACGUGCUACAAUGGCCGGUACAAUGAGCUGCGAUACCGCAAGGUGGAGCGAAUCUCAAAAAGCCGGUCUCAGUUCGGAUUGGGGU